rnacentral:rRNA from 1 species
UACGUAGGGUGCAAGCGUUGUCCGGAAUUAUUGGGCGUAAAGAGCUCGUAGGCGGUCUGUCGCGUCUGCUGUGAAAACUCAGGGCUUAACCCUGAGCUUGCAUGUGGGUACGGGCAGACUAGAGUGGCGGUAGGGGAGACUGGAAUUCCUGGUGUAGCGGUGAAAUGCGCAGAUAUCAAGGAAGAACACCCGUGGCGAAAGCGGCUCUCUGGAACGGUAC